AGUGAUAAUAUCUUACCUUACACUCCUGAACACAUCCAAUUUCAAAAGCUAAUCAAGGUCAAGCCAUUAGUACUUGGAUGGGAGACCUCCAGAGAAUAUCAGGCUGAUGUUGCUA
rnacentral:rRNA from 1 species